rnacentral:rRNA from 1 species
UACGUAGGGGGCAAGCGUUGUCCGGAAUUAUUGGGCGUAAAGAGCGCGUAGGCGGUCCGAUAAGUCGGCUGUGAAAGUCAGGGGCUCAACCCUUGAAAGCCGGCCGAUACUGUCGGACUAGAGUCCGGAAGAGGCGAGUGGAAUUCCCGGUGUAGCGGUGAAAUGCGCAGAUAUCAGGAGGAACACCUAUGGCGAAGGCAGCUCGCUGGGACGGUACUGACGCUGAGGCGCGAAAGCGUGGGGAGCGAACAGG